rnacentral:sRNA from 1 species
CGUCACCGAUCCAACCGCCUGCCCAUUGCCGGGACAUGGCACCAAUCCCAUAGCCAGUGGCUCCCCGAAUGU